GUUCGGCGUUAAACGUGGUUUUACGUUUCUCCAAACCAUACAUAUUUAACAGUGAGGAGUUAAUAUGUACCUGAGGAAACAGGUGUUUGCUGGUGAAACAGGUGAAGAAGCCUCGGUCAGGUGCUGCAGACGCCAAAGCUACUCUAUUUACAAUCGCUCCGUUUACAUUUAGGUUAAAAGCACGUAUUUAUGCGUGCAUAAGAACAUUUUGGCGCCAUGACGUCCUUCUCAAAGGGCCCAGGACAUGCAGCUAAACCUCGGGUGGAAACGUUUGCCAGCUGAAGGAUGAAGCGGAGUGAAUCUGGACACCAGACAACUCAUUUAAUGCUGAUGAUGAAUGACCACAGCGCUGGAACCCAAAAUGAGCUCUCUAAGUCACUCCUCGCAGUCAUUUCAGAUUCCUCAACAGAAACGAAAGCCUCUUGGCAUUAGAAGUGGGUGUCUAGAUGGUUUUUCUAUUUUUAUCGAGGUGGACAUCACCAUCUUGGAUAAUCAACUCCAACAGAUUGCGCUCCGAGAAACAAAUUGCUUCAUUUAAGCAUGAAAAUGAUUGAGCAAAAGGAUGACAAACACAGCGGAGUGCAUUUAUCAAAGCUGUUUACACGAGACACAAAUCACGGCUGCUGGAUCCACUUGAAAAAUUGCUUUGUUAUAGUUACAAUUUAUCAUUGACAUGUUGUAUUUACUGAAAAACAAAUCUGUCAGAUGGUAGUCAAGAUAGAUUCAAUAUGUCAAUUAUUACCACUGAGUAGAAUUACUGAGAGGUCUUGUGUGUGUGUGCUGCUCAUACUCAAGCAUUAUAGUUCAAUGCAUAAGUUCUCUGCAUAUUAUCCUCUAAAAUAUGAGGAACAAAAGUUUUGAGAGAGCUGCUCAGUUUAAUGUGACAUGUUCUGUAUUUGCAUAUAGGCAGGUGACAAAUUAAUGGAAAACCUGAAUAAAUGAAUGGGGAAACAUAACACGUCCUGAUGCA